rnacentral:rRNA from 1 species
CGCGAAUUCGCCCUUGGGGGUGCCCGAGGCGUCGAAUUCUUUGCAAUAAGCGAAAGCUUGACCGGGCUGUCCCGAAUGCCAUCCGCUGAGGAAGGCUUUUACCCAGUCUAUAACGCUGGGGGAAUAAGGAGAGGGCAAGUCUGGUGUCGGCCGCCGCGGUAAUACCAGCUCUCCCAGUGGCGUGGAUGUUUAUUGGGCCUAAAGCAUCCGUACCUGGCUAAGUUAUUCCCCUGUGAAGUCCACCGAAUUAAUUCGUUGGAUUGCGGGGGACACUGCUUGGCUAGGGGACCACAGAGGCACACGGUAUUUCCGGGGUACGGGUGAAAUCCUAUAAUCCCGGGAAGACCACCAGUGGCAAAGGCUGUCUGCUAUAACGCGCCCGACGGUGAGGGAUGAAAGCUGGGGGAUCGAACAGGAUUAAAUACCCGGGUAGUCCCAGCUGUAAACGAUGCACACUAAGUGUUUGAACGGCCACGUGCGGUUCUAAUGCCUCAUGGAAGCUGGUAACUCUGCCGCCUGGGGAGUACCAUCGCAAGAUUGAAACUUAAAGGAAUUGGCGGGGGAGCAC